rnacentral:rRNA from 1 species
AGCGAACGCUGGCGGCAUGCCUAACACAUGCAAGUCGAACGAGACCUUCGGGUCUAGUGGCGCACGGGUGCGUAACGCGUGGGAACCUGCCCUUAGGUUCGGAAUAACUCCCCGAAAGGGGUGCUAAUACCGGAUAAUGUCUUCGGACCAAAGAUUUAUCGCCUUUGGAUGGGCCCGCGUUGGAUUAGCUAGUUGGUAGGGUAAAAGCCUACCAAGGCGACGAUCCAUAGCUGGUCUGAGAGGAUGAUCAGCCACACUGGGACUGAGACACGGCCCAGACUCCUACGGGAAGCAGCAGUGGGGAAUAUUGGACAAUGGGCGAAAGCCUGAUCCAGCAAUGCCGCGUGAGUGAUGAAGGCCUUAGGGUUGUAAAGCUCUUUUACCCGGGAUGAUAAUGGCAGUACCGGGAGAAUAAGCUCCGGCUAACUCCGUG